CGCAGCUGAGCAUCUCGAAAUGACUGAAGAGAACGCCGAAGGAAACCUAAUCUCCCAAACCGAAACUUUCCUCAACCAAGUCGUCCUCAAAAGCUGGAAAGACUCAAUAAAAGCCCUCCAAACCUGCAGCGAGGUCUCCCACUACGCUGAGGAGUUAAACAUCACCAAGAAAUGCAUAGAGUCGCUAGCCGUGAGAGCAUCAACAACAGACCCGAACCUUUUCGGAUGGCCGGUCGUGGACCCCAUGCAGAGUCCAGGUGGCAGCGUGUUAUGGAACGGCAUAAGCACGGGUGCUAGAGUUAAACACACUAGCUCAGAUUGGUGGUACGAGGACGCGUCCACACUUAGCUUUCCUCUCUUUAAGAGACUCAUCACAGUCAUGGACUCACGAGGAGGCGUAAGAGAAGACAUCAUCGCCGGUUCUUUAACUUACUACACAAGAAAACACUUACCCGGUUUAAAACGACGCCGUGGAGGACCUGAAGCUAGCGGUCGUUUCAGCAGCUCAGGGACGGUACUCUCCGAAGAAGAGCAGAAGCACUUGCUCGAAGAGAUCCAAGACCUUCUCCCCGUGCAAAAAGGUUUAGUCCCGACCAAGUUCUUCGUCGACAUGCUCAGAGUCGCCAAGAUUCUGAAGGCUAGCCCUAGCUGCGUAGCUAACUUGGAGAAGAGGAUAGGGAUGCAGCUCGACCAGGCGGCGUUGGAGGAUCUUGUGAUGCCUAGCUUUACUCAUACGAUGGAGACUCUAUACGAUGUUGACUCUGUGCAGAGGAUCUUGGAUCAUUUUCUUGGUACUGAUCAGAUUAUGACUGUUGGUGGUGGUGUUGGCUCUCCUUGCUCUUCGGUGGAUGAUGGGAACUUGAUGGGAUCACCGCAGAGGAUAACGCCGAUGAUGGCGGUUUCGAAGCUGAUUGAUGGGUAUCUUGCUGAAGUGGCUCCUGAUGUUAAUCUCAAGCUUCCGAAGUUUCAAACCUUAGCUGGUUCUGUUCCUGAGUGUGCUAGGCUCUUGGAUGAUGGACUAUAUCGCGCAAUAGACAUUUACUUAAAGGUAAGAAUUGUUUUUUAUAGCGCUGAACUGAAGUAAGACCGAACCGACCAAACUAAAUUUUUCUGUUUUCGGUUUAACAUCCGGUAGAACCAAUAAACCAAUCUGCCCAUUUUUAAAAUUUUAAUCGGUUUUUGGUUCGGUUCCGCAAGCAAGAACCGAUCAGUUUGAAACAUAUUUAACCAAAAAAACUGAAUAAACAGAAAUAACCUGAAACAAACUGAAUAAACCCGGAAAAUUAAAAUUUACAUAACCGAGUUUUUGUUUUUACCAAAUUAACCGAAUGAACCGAUAUGUUAAACAAAUUUUGGUUCAAUUCGGAAUAAAUAAUAAUACCGAAAACCUACCCGAAUAAUCCGAAUUCCGAACCAAAUAAAACCAAAAUAUAGUUCGGUUUCCAAAACCGAAAAACCGAAUAAACCAACCCAAAAAACCGAAAAAAACUAAUGUCCAACUCUACUGUUUUAUUUAACAAAGACUUAUUAAGUUGCUUCUUUUAUUCAUUUGAUGAUCUGCAGCAUCAUCCGUGGUUAGCGGAAACAGAGAGAGAGAAUCUUUGCAGGUUGUUAGACUGCCAGAAGCUCUCUUUAGAAGCUUGCACACACGCGGCGCAGAACGACAGAUUACCACUAAGAGUAAUCGUCCAAGUCCUCUUCUUUGAGCAGCUUCAGCUUAGAACCUCUGUAGCUGGAUGCUUCCUGGUUUCAGACAACCUCGAUGGUGGGUCAAGGCAGUUAAGAAGCGGCGGAUUUGCAGGAGGAUCAGCCGAAGGAGGAGGAGGAGGAUGGGCAAGUGCAGUAAGAGAGAAUCAAGUCUUGAAAGUUGGGAUGGACAGUAUGAGGAUGAGGGUUUGCGAGUUGGAGAAUGACUUGUAUGGUAUCUAUAAAAUGGUCUCUACGGAGAGGGAGCAUAUUAUAACCUUACUCGCACGCCAAAGAUUAGUGAGAAGGAUUGGAUUCUUUGAGUAAAGAUUAGGACGUAAUUAAUCAAACUUUCACACUUUAUGUAAUGUUAGCUACAAACAAAAAUGUUUGCUAAUUUCAAGAAUCAACACAAUGAGUAUGUUUGAAGAUACAAAGGAGUGAAGGACCCUCCAAGUGCAUGUGCUCAUAAUAAUAAUAAUUAAAAAAAUCUUCUAAUAUAAAUUUCGAGAUUUUCAAAUGUCCACCUUUUAUUACACUAUAUGGAUUAAAAUAAAGUUUCUAGAUUCUAAAGCAACCAAUACAAAAACACAAAAUAUUAACUAUAUUUAAUUUAAUUUUACUUUUUCCUUAUUACCAGACAUCAAUCAAUUGGCUAUAUGGUCCCCCUUACAUGUAUAUUCUCGUAUAAAGCAACAAGAACUGGUAAGUUACUUCUCUGCUUAGCUGUUCUUGUCUAGCUGGGUUUUUGGGGGUUCAGCUUCUUUCUUUCUUUUCAUUACUUUGCUGGGGGAAAAGGUUUUAAUUUGGUGUUACAGAUAAGAUUAUUUAAGAUUCUGAGUUUCUUUUAGUGGGGGGCUUUGGCCAAGGGGAUCUCUCUAUAUUAUUACACAUUCCGUGUGAUUCUUUUGGGCGUUGAGGUUUUAAUUUCUGGAAGAUUAAUGUGAGCUACUGAGUGUGGAGAAAGGAGGCAGCUUUUAAGUGUUUGUUCAAAUGUCUGAGUGAAAUUGAUCUGGGUAUUAAGGGAUAGAUCCAAAGUCUCUUUCUUUCUGAGAAAAUUAGCAGUUUUUUUUUUUUUUGGUUUGGUUGUUGUACGUUAGGGUUUUUGGAGGCUUAGCUAUUGUAAGUUUCUUUGUUGGAUUCUGUUGAGUGAGAGAAAGUAUGGCUUGCAUGAAGCUGGGAUCCAAAUCUGAUGCUUUCCAGAGACAAGGCCAGGCUUGGUAUAUUCACUUGCUCUCUACUUGUUUUAUAGUCUAUCUUUGUUCCAUUUUUUGCCCCUUCUUGAUUCUCCUCCUAAUGUCUCAUACUGGAUUUGAGACCUUUGGUCUCAGCAUUACUGAGUCAAAGUUUCCUCCUUUGUCUUCUUCUUUUUUGUGCUCAAAUAUUACAGGUUUUGCACAACUGGACUUCCAAGUGAUGUUGUCGUUGAAGUUGGGGAAAUGUCUUUCCAUCUCCACAAGGUAAACUUGAUUUGCUUGCUUGAACAAGACAACACUCUCUUCUUGAUGAAUCCUUACACUUACUGUAGAAACCAGUGUGUACCAAGCCUCCUCUUUGAGAAAAAAAAAUAAAGUUUUUCUUAUAGGCUUUUUGAUUCUGUGCUAUGUGCAGUUUCCUUUGCUCUCUAGAAGUGGAGUCAUGGAAAGAAACAUCGCAGAGGCAUCUCAAGAAGCAGAUGAUGACAAAUGUCUCAUUCAAAUCUCUGAUCUUCCCGGCGGAGACAAAACCUUCGAGCUAAUCGCCAAGUUCUGCUACGGUGUAAAACUCGAACUCACCGCUUCCAACGUUGUACACCUCAGAUGCGCAGCUGAGCAUCUCGAAAUGACUGAAGAGAACGCCGAAGGAAACCUAAUCUCCCAAACCGAAACUUUCCUCAACCAAGUCGUCCUCAAAAGCUGGAAAGACUCAAUAAAAGCCCUCCAAACCUGCAGCGAGGUCUCCCACUACGCUGAGGAGUUAAACAUCACCAAGAAAUGCAUAGAGUCGCUAGCCGUGAGAGCAUCAACAACAGACCCGAACCUUUUCGGAUGGCCGGUCGUGGACCCCAUGCAGAGUCCAGGUGGCAGCGUGUUAUGGAACGGCAUAAGCACGGGUGCUAGAGUUAAACACACUAGCUCAGAUUGGUGGUACGAGGACGCGUC
rnacentral:lncRNA from 1 species